GUGCGCGUGUGUGUGCAACCAGGUUGACAAUAGCUGUUUCUGUUCUCUCUGUAGACUAGUGUUUCAGGACAUUAGUGGCAGAUUGCCCCAGGUAGGGUUUACACACUCUGUGUGAGAGCCAGUGUGCAUCCUCCUCGUCUCCAAUGACUGCGUGCUGCUAGACAUUAUUGACCAUCUGAGAUUGAAACGCCUUCUCUGUCUUCUUCUACUAACUCACUGGAUUCUGACAUGGGUGGAGUUGCGGAAGGGGGAGAAGAGAAUUAAGUUGAAAUCUGAUUUUGUGACACAUGUACUGCAUAGAGACGUCCAUUCACAAAUGAUCUACAGGAGAGAUGGGUGUACAUUUUGAGGGGAAGUUAGGUGCAGUAUUGCAGGUCAAUACUUGAACAGUGGGUCAAUAUCUUUUACCCAAAUCUGCACCAGUGAUUAAGUUUUCAAGUCUAUUCCAAGAUACAUUUUGUCUUUUUUUUGGCCUCGUCCCUAGGUAAAUCUAGCUUCAUCCGUGAAUUUAUGACUUUUCAUUAUGUUCUUCUGGCGAGAUACAUUAAAACACAUUUUAUUACAUUAUUUGACAUUUUCAUCACACACUUUUAUUCCAUAAUCAGAAAACAUGUUCAGAGAAUUGUCCACAACUGUGAUGACUGAGACAAAAACAAAAAAAACAAAUUACUCCAUUUUUCAGGACAUUUUUUUGUUAUACUUUUUUUCAUUGAUUCACACAAACAUAUGAAUUCUUAUGUGUCAACGAGCUGCAUUGCCAUGAUUUGAAAUACAAACAGGAUGCUAAAUGAUUAAGGCAGUAGUCAGAGGGAUCAGCAGUUAAUUCCGACCCCUUCCAGGAAUCUCCCUAUCUGUUUCACCUGUGGCAUGCUAACUGAAUCAAUGUCGGCAUGCAGACAUAUUGACAAGGCUGACUCAUCCCCCAGACCACCCUAUUUCCUCCCCCCUCUUUUUUGUGUCAUCCUUAAUUGCACUUCUUCUCGCUCUUUUCAUCUUUUCUUCCUCAGUCAAUAAUUAAAACCUUUUUUUGAUGUUUCAAGUGUCAUCUGGCAUUAGCCCCUCCUUCCUCUUCUUCUGCUCCCUUUAUUAUUUACUAUAUCUUCUUUCCUUGCUCUGUGAUACUUCCUCUUCCUCACCCAUUUUCUACAUGCCCUCCUCUCUCUUUCCAAGCCCCCCCUGUACACGUCAUCUUCCUCCACCCCGUCCUCCUUCCUCUCCCCCACCUCCCCCCCAGUCCAGCCUCCCUCCCAUAGCGGCAGCUGUGUGGUCCUGAAUGCGGGGACUUGGUCGUGACUGAUCCUUUAGGGUAGAAUGCAGCGGUGUUUGUUUUGUUUUGUUUUUAUAGGGAUGUUUGGCCUAAUACGCUGUGCGUUCUGAGUUUGGGAAAAGCAUGCUGUGUCUGUCAGUGAUUGGUCACUGGCCACGUGAACGUGUGUGUGCGUGCGUGCGUGUGUGUGUGUGUGUGUGCGCCCUUUUUUUAAUCCGACUGGCUGACUGUCUUCUUUCACCUGUAGUUUAUUUUUUUUUGUGUCUGUUCAUCAGCUGUUCAUCUAAACAUAAAUAAUGACACAAUCAUCUUGCCACCCCUUCCCCUUUCUUUAACAGUGUGUUUUUGGUAGGGGAACCGGGGUGGGGCACAGUUAUGGUUAUGAACUCUCUCUCCUUCCAUGUCCAACGCACAGUGGGGGAAAAAAAAUAUUGCAUUUUAAUGUUGCACAGGGGAACAUGUUUAUUGUGUAGUCAUGGAGGGAGAGACCCACACAGAGCCUGAGCUACAUCCUUGUGAAUGCCGUACUGCACCAGAUUAGCCAGUUUUGCCGACUGUCUGCUUGUUAAUCUUUCGCUCUCUUCUCAGCAGUUUUUUGCUCACAAUGUAACCCUUUUAGAUUAACUGCUAGUCUGUGUGUAGAGGAAAUACAGCAAACCCUUUUAACAACGAUUUACUCUUGUUUCUCCCUUCAUCGUAUAUCUUUCUCCUCCGCCACGCACCACACCCCCUUCCAACCCUCAUCGACCCUCAUCGCCUCGUCACAGGGCGGAUAUGCAGCGUAUCGUUACGCCCAGCCGACUGCGGUAGCUCCCGCGGCAGCGGCGGCUGCAGCAGCAGCUUACAGUGACAGCUACGGACGAGUUUACACGGCAGACCCCUACCAUGCUGCGCUCAACCCGGCUGCCUACGGCGUUGGAGCCAUGGCCACACUGUACAGGGGAGGCUACAGUAGAUUUGCCCCUUACUAAAGACACUACAUUUCCCAGGAGCUCCUCUCUUCCAUUGAAUUUCUCUGAAAGAGCUCCCUCUGUUGUCGUGGAGGUGGACUGCACCCAGUUUUAAAGUGUGGAGUCGACUCAACAAAGAUAUUUCAGAUCCCUCCCCAGAGCAGUCCCACGUUUUCGUAUAUACGCUACUACAGAAAUAGAGGAAUGCUGUAUUAAAGACUGACAGACGGCCUUUACAGUAAAAAAAAAAAAAGAAGAAGAAAAAAAAAGACUGGCCACCUUUCCUAUUGCACGGCUGUAUUAUAGUCCCCUCUUCUUAAUCCCUCGGCACUCAGCAGCACAAGAAUCGUGAUGGAGCCCAGAUGUUCUUCCAAAGGCUGUAUGUGGAUAACUGACAUUUUAAACAGCUGUCAACCGUGUGUGAGGAAAAAAAGAGCUGAGUGCUGUGUGGCCUGCACGCACUCAACAUUUAAGGGAAAAGGGAGGGAAUGAAAAGUGUCCACAGAACGUCGGAGCGAUAGGAAAGCAG